GAUGAAGAACGUAGUGAAAUGCGAUAAGUAGUGUGAAUUGCAGAAUUCAGUGAAUCAUCGAAUCUUUGAACGCACAUUGCGCCCUAUGGUAUUCCAAAGGGCAUGCCUGUUCGAGCGUCAUUUGUACCCUCAAGCUUUGCUUGGUGUUGGGCGUCUUGUCUCUAGCUUUGCUGGAGACUCGCCUUAAAGUAAUUGGCAGCCGGCCUACUGGUUUCGGAGCGCAGCACAAGUCGCACUCUCUAUCAGCAAAGGUCUAGCAUCCAUUAAGCCUUUUUUUCAACUUUUGACCUCGGAUCAGGUAGGGAUACUCGCUGAACUUAAGCAUAUCAAUAAGCGGAGGA
rnacentral:misc_RNA from 1 species